rnacentral:tRNA from 1 species
UCUCGACCCUUUGCCUUAGGAUUAGUCAGUUCUAUUUCUCGAUAGGGGCAGGGAAGGGAUAUAACUCAGCGG